CCAGGUGUGGCAGGAGACUCCCUCACGGCAGAUGAGACCCUCCGUGCAGUUUCCCAUGGGAACCCUGCUUCCCUGGCCAGCUGACUGCUAGGGGGGCUCCCCUGUUCCCGCCCUCCUCCUCUCCAUCUCUGCUCCCCAGCAGCCCCCUGUUUCCUGUUGGCCCCCAUGUCCCCCCUCACCUGCAGGGCAUCGCUGAUCUAGACUCUGUGGCCUGGAGCCAGUGAGCCGAGCUCAGGAAGCCUGUUUUCCCGUCUUCCUCUGUCCCUGGCCCAGUGACCUCCCGUGGUAAGGAAGGUCACGUGGGGGCACAUUGCAGCCCCUUCAAGGACCCUGCAGAGGGAGCAGCAACGAGGAUGGUGGAGGUCUCAGGAAAGAGCACGGACCUUGGCUGGUCAGACUCAGCUCGGCCUCUCAGCAGCUGUGUGACCGCAGGCCGGUUCACUCACUUCUCCCAACUCCUGUGCCCUGGCUUCCUGUGGCUGCCAUAACCAAUGACCACAGACACAGUGGCUUAAAACAACACAUAUUCGUCCUCUUACAGUUUUGGAGGCCGAGUAUCCCAACCUCAGUUCUACUGGGCUGAAGUCAAGGUGUCGGCAGGGCCGCCUCCCUCAGGGGGCAUAGGGGACAAGCCUUCCUUGGCUCUUCCAGCUCCUGGUGGCUGCAGCAUCCUUGGCUUGUGGCCGCAUCACUCCAAUCUCCAAGGCCAGCAUCUUCCAGACUCUCUCUGCUCCUCUUCACGUGGCCAGACCCUCUGUGUGGUCACAGCUCUCUCUGCGCCCUCCCAGAAGGACACCUGUGAGUGCAUCUAGGGCCUGCAGAUAGCCCACGAUGAAGUCCCAUCUCAAGAUCCCCACUUCAUCACAUCCGCAAAGCUUUUGUCCUUCUUGCCGUGGUUGGCAGCAUCCCCAGGUUCCAGGGAUGAGCAGGAGGAUGUCUUUGGGGGUCGGGGUGCAUUUCCAGCCCCCCACACUGGCUGUGUCUCCAUGGAAGCAGGAGGGGUGUGCUCCACGGGCCGCUGGGGGAAUCCGGAGGCCUGGCAGGACAUUGACAGCCCUCAGAGCCCAGAGGACACGGGGCCUCUGUCCCCAUCGCAGGUGCACUCAGCAGGCCGGUUCCAAGCCAGCCGGCCCCCUGCCCCCGUGUUCCUGCGAUGUUGCACUCUGCGUCAAAGGGGG
rnacentral:lncRNA from 1 species